AUGGCCAUUGUGCUGGAUGCCUUCGCGUCCUAUGUCGCCGACAUGCUCAAGCAGGUGGUGGAGGACGAGGUGGGGAUGCUGCUCGGCGUCACCGGCCAGAUCGACAAGAUGGGCGUCAAGCUUGGGGACCUCAAGAAGUUCCUGGCCGAUGCCGAGAGGAGACGCAUCACCGACACCAGCGUGCAGGGCUGGGUGACGGAGCUCAAGCGCGCCAUGUACGAUGCCACCGACAUCCUCGACAUCUGCCAGCUCAAGGCCAUGGAUCACCAUGCAGCAUCACGCAUGGGGUGCUGCAACCCGUUGCUCUUCUGCUUGCGGAACCCCCUCUUCGCCCACGAAAUCGGCACCCGCAUCAGGGCGCUCAACCAGAAGCUCGACGCCAUCAAGGAGCGAAGCGCUGCCUUCGGCUUCAACCUUGCUUCGUACGAGGACUCUUGCAGCAAGGUACAUUCCUCUCGCUUAUCUACCAGCCGCGAGAAAUCGUGGGAGCUCGACCGGUCAGGUGUGGUCGGGGAGAAAAUCGAAGAAGACACAAGGGCACUGGUAGAAAUCAUGGUGAGAAGAACUGAGGCGGAAACCAGCAACGCAGACAACAACAGAGUCAUGGUUUUUGCCAUUGUGGGUGUUGGUGGGAUCGGCAAGACAACCCUCGCUCGGGAGGUCUUCAACGAUGAAGCCAUAAAUGCCAAUUUCGACAAGAAGAUAUGGUUGAGUGUCAACCAAGACUUCGACAAGGUUGAGCUUCUUAGGACAGCCAUCACUCUUGCCGGGGGAAAGCACCGUAGUGAAAAAGCGUUGGCAGUGCUUCGGCCAAUCCUUAGUGAUGCCUUGACAGGGAAGAAGAUAUUCCUGGUGAUGGAUGACGUGUGGAGCCAUGAAGCAUGCGGUGAUGUGCUUGAAACACCCCUUAAUGCUGUGGCCCGAGGUAGCCGAGUCCUCGUCACUACGAGAGAUACAAGAGUUGCCCGUGGGGUGAAAGCUGUGCUCCCCUACCACCACAUCGACAAAUUAGAUGAUGAAGAUGCCUGGUCAUUGCUUAGGAAACAGGUAAUUUCAAGUGAGACAGAUGGACCUGAAGUUGAUAUGCUUAAGGAUAUUGGAUUGCAAAUUGCUGUAAAAUGUGGUGGUUUGCCUCUUGCUGUCAAAGUAAUGGGAGGACUGUUGUGUCAGAAGGAUAAACAACGCCAUGAAUGGAAUAUGGUUCUGAAUGAUUCUAUAUGGUCGGCAUCUGAAAUGCCCGAAGAGCUAAACUAUUCAAUAUAUUUAAGCUAUGAAGAUUUACCUCCUUCCAUCAAGCAGUGCUUUCUAUACUACUCCCUUCUCCCUAAAAGUGCUGCGUGGUCUAAAAAUGGCAGUAUUGGUAUGUGGAUUAGCGAAGGAUUUCUUCAUGGAACCUCUGCUGACUUGGAAGAAUUAGGAAGCAAGUACUAUAAGGAGCUGAUUCUGAGGAACCUUAUAGAGCCAGUUACAAUAUGGUCUGAUCAGCAAGUUUGCAGCAUGCAUGAUGUUGUUCGCUCAUUUGCUCAAUUUGUGGCUAGAGAUGAGGCACUAGCAGCUCACAGUGGAGAUACUGGUUUCAUUAGUAAACUUAGUGCACACAAGUUCCUUCAGAAUCAGAUGGGUUAG
rnacentral:rRNA from 1 species